UGGGGAAUCUUGGACAAUGGGGGCAACCCUGAUCCAGCCAUGCCGCGUGAGUGAUGAAGGCCUUAGGGUCGUAAAGCUCUUUCGCCUGUGAAGAUAAUGACGGUAGCAGGUAAAGAAACCCCGGCUAACUCCGUGCCAGCAGCCGCGGUAAUACGGAGGGGGUUAGCGUUGUUCGGAAUUAUUGGGCGUAAAGAGCUCGUAGGCGGUUCGGUAAGUCGGGUGUGAAAAGCUCUGGGCUCAACCCAGAGAGGCCACUCGAUACUGCUGUGACUAGAGUGCGGUAGGGGAGCGGGGAAAUUCCUGGUGUAGCGGUGAAAUGCGCAGAUAUCAGGAGGAACACCAGUGGCGAAGGCGCCGCUCUGGGCCGUAACUGACGCUGAGGAGCGAAAGCAUGGGUAGCAAACAGGAUUAGAUACCCUGGUAGUCCACGCCGUAAACGAUGUCUGCUAGUCGUUGGGGGGCCGUAGCCCUUCAGUGGACGCCGCUAACGCAUUAAGCAGACCGCCUGGGGAGUACGGCCGCAAGGUUAAAACUCAAA
rnacentral:rRNA from 1 species